ensembl:lncRNA
GGAAGUUACAUCAUCUGAGUUUCCUGAAGUGCAAAGAUCCCACGCUGACGGAUCCUCCUCCAUCUCCUCCAUCUUGUGUUCGCGGCUUUCGGGGAGCGUAAACUGGAAGGCGGAGGUCUCGCUCGCUCCCGGUGGCAGAGAGGCGUCGUGUGAUGGAUGCCUGCGGAAAUAAAUACUAAAUGACGGGUAAUUAGAGACACCUGAGGAAGAUUAGCCAUCAUGGGCACACCUGGGGAACCUCGCAGCCAUCCAUCCAUCCAUAUGAUAGCAUCGGGGCAUGUAGCUGAUGGAGAAAGCAAGAGACGGAGGGAAAGGAAGGAGAGAGAGUGGGAUCUGAGCUCGGCCUUUGAAGCCGCUCGCUCUCGGUUGCUAAGGCUGUUGUUGGAAAACAUCGAGGGCAGUUUCUCACCGCCAAGAAUGCGAAGAAAAGGCUCGACUUCCUGCGGAGAGUGUUCUAGUUACUUUAAAGAAGAGACCGCAGCUCGUCCACUUAUUUGCAUAAAUGACAGAUCCAUGAGGUGAACCCCAAA